UACGUAGGGAGCAAGCGUUGUCCGGAAUUACUGGGUGUAAAGGGAGCGUAGGCGGGAGGAUAAGUUGAAUGUGAAAUCUAUGGGCUCAACCCAUAGCUGCGUUCAAAACUGUUCUUCUUGAGUGAAGUAGAGGCAGGCGGAAUUCCUAGUGUAGCGGUGAAAUGCGUAGAUAUCGCGCAGAACCCCGAUUGCGAAGGCAGCCUGCCGGCCCCACACUGACGCUGAGGCACGAAAGCGUGGGUAUCGAACAGG
rnacentral:rRNA from 1 species